rnacentral:rRNA from 1 species
UACGAAGGGGGCUAGCGUUGCUCGGAAUUAUUGGGCGUAAAGCGCACGUAGGCGGCUUGGCAAGUCGGAUGUGAAAUCCCUCGGCUCAACCAAGGAAGUGCAUCCGGAAACUGCCGAGCUUGAGUACUUAAGAGGAUCGCGGAAUUCCCGGUGUAGAGGUGAAAUUCGUAGAUAUCGGGAGGAACACCAGUGGCGAAGGCGGCGAUCUGGGAAGAUACUGACGCUGAGGUGCGAAAGCGUGGGGAGCAAACAGG